UUACUGGAUAUGUGACGUGACCGCAUGGUCUGCGUCUGGAAAGAAUUUCGGUUGGGGAUGGGCUCGCGGCCUAUCAGCUUGUUGGUGAGGUAAUGGCUCACCAAGGCGUCGACGGGUAGCCGGCCUGAGAGGGUGACCGGCCACACUGGGACUGAGACACGGCCCAGACUCCUACGGGAGGCAGCAGUGGGGAAUAUUGCACAAUGGGCGCAAGCCUGAUGCAGCAACGCCGCGUGAGGGAUGACGGCCUUCGGGUUGUAAACCUCUUUUAGCAGGGAAGAAGCGAAAGUGACGGUACCUGCAGAAAAAGCGCCGGCUAACUACGUGCCAGCAGCCGCGGUAAUACGUAGGGCGCAAGCGUUAUCCGGAAUUAUUGGGCGUAAAGAGCUCGUAGGCGGUUUGUCGCGUCUGCUGUGAAAUCCGGAGGCUCAACCUCCGGCCUGCAGUGGGUACGGGCAGACUAGAGUGCGGUAGGGGAGAUUGGAAUUCCUGGUGUAGCGGUGGAAUGCGCAGAUAUCAGGAGGAACACCGAUGGCGAAGGCAGAUCUCUGGGCCGUAACUGACGCUGAGGAGCGAAAGGGUGGGGAGCAAACAGGCUUAGAUACCCUGGUAGUCCACCCCGUAAACGUUGGGAACUAGUUGUGGGGUCCAUUCCACGGAUUCCGUGACGCAGCUAACGCAUUAAGUUCCCCGCCUGGGGAGUAC
rnacentral:rRNA from 1 species